UACAGAGGAUGCAAGCGUUAUCCGGAAUGAUUGGGCGUAAAGCGUCUGUAGGUGGCUUUUUAAGUCCGCCGUCAAAUCCCAGGGCUCAACCCUGGAAUGCCGGUGGAUACUGUCGAGCUAGAGUCCGGAAGGGGCGAGUGGAAUUCCUGGUGUAGCGGUGAAAUGCGCAGAUAUCAGGAGGAACACCUAUGGCGAAGGCAGCUCGCUGGGACGUGACUGACGCUGAGACGCGAAAGCGUGGGGAGCAAACAGG
rnacentral:rRNA from 1 species